GGAUUAGAUACCCUGGUAGUCCACGCCGUAAACUAUGAAUACUAGCUGUUAGAUUUUAUUUAUAAAAUUUAGUAGCGUAGCUAACGCGAUAAGUAUUCCACCUGGGAAGUACGGUCGCAAGACUAAAACUCAAAGGAAUUGACGGGGACCCGCACAAGCGGUGGAGCAUGUGGUUUAAUUCGAUGCAACGCGAAAAACCUUACCUGGUCUUGACAUCCUGCAAAUUUUUUAGAAAUAAAAAAGUGCCUUUUAGGAAUGCAGAGACAGGUGCUGCAUGGCUGUCGUCAGCUCGUGUGC
rnacentral:rRNA from 1 species